CUACUGUUCAUUCCUCCUGGAGUGUGUAGCAAUAAGGUACCAUCCUCAAGGCAGAAACUGAGCUCUCACCGUACACUGAACCUGACAGUGCCUUGAUUUUGGACUUCACAGCCUCCAGAACUAUGAGAAAAAAAAAUUUUUUCUAUUGUUUUAAAUUACCCAGCCCCAGGUAUUUUUGUUAUAAUGGCAUGACUGAUCUAAGACAGCAAGGUGCAUCUAACUGAUCAAAUCAUAGCAGCAAAACGUAGAGCAUUGCACAUAGUAGGUCUUCAACCAUAAAGGGAGGGAUUAAUUAUUUAGCACCCAUUUAGCAGAGCACUGUCCCAGGAAUGGUGCAUAAUAAUGAGAAAAACAAGUUUCUACUCCUAAAAUGCUUGCGAUUCCAGUGUCAGAAACGAGAACUGAAAACACAAUGAGAAAACUUUUAGACUGAUAUAAUUUCCCAGAAGGAGCUUCAGGAACACAUAUAAAAAAGCAACUAAUGGUCUGGGUGGGAGUGGGGAGAAGGAUGCUUCUGAAAGCAAGGAACAUAGUAUUUUCACUCAAUAAUAGUCUGCACAAAAUAAAUAGGUAACAAAGAUCAAAAAAUUACUUUUGAUGGCCAGUGAAGUGGAAUUAAAAGAAUUAUAUUCAUUGAUGGGUACAGAACACUCAGUGCCUUCUAACUCCAAGUCCUCUACCUUUCCACCAUAUAAUGCAAUAUCUUAUUAUUUAAAAAAAAUAAAAGCACACAUAUUUAUUUAAAAAUUGGACACACAGUUGAACCACUAGGGAACAGAACUGGAGAAAGAGAUGUUUCUCCUUUAGUUUCUGACUCAUCUUUCCUGUAGCUCUUGUUCUUGGGCUCAGCUCUGACAUUUAACUUCUGAUUGCACAAGUGGGCUGUGGUUUGUCUGCUUUUGAGGGAAUUUAGAUUGAGAAAGAAUGUGGGAGAGACCUUUUGUCUCUAACCCCGGGACGGAUGGAAGAGCAGCUGUGUGGAGAAGUAGACAGGGAAGGAUUAUUUAUUAUGGAUUUAUUAUUAUUUAUUAUUAUUGUGAAAUAGGUUAAACGAGGUCUGAUGACUACCCACCUUCUCAUCAUUGCUACACUUUCCUGCUCAGAACUUUCCGACUCCCUCUGACCCUCUCUCUGCAAAGGACAGGUCUGAAGAUAUGUAAGUAGUUACAAAUUAUGGGGAUUCAUUUUGCUUCUCCAUUUGACCAGAUUCAGGGAUGUCUGGAAAAUUGGUAAAGCCCCAUGUCCUCAUGUGUCUAGAAGGGUGUUUAUAGAGCAGAUUGGCCUGUCUGUGAGCCGAGUGGGGAAGACCUACUCUAGUGUCACCACUCAGUAGGCUGGGAGCCCAGAUGGAAGCAAAAAGCAGAAGGGGAGACUGACUCAUUGUUUUCUCUUUCUCUCUCUCUCUCCUCCAGCAGGUUCAUUUCUUCCUGCUGCUGCCCUUGGACAUCAGACUCCAGGUUUUUCGGCCUUUGGAUUCAGACCGAAUCAUUGGCCUUAUUUCUCCUUCUGAGGUUCAGCUUGUUGGCCUGAGCAGCUCCAGGCUUUCCUGACUCCCCAACCUAUGGACAACUACCACGGGACUCUUCCGCCUCUGUGUGAG
rnacentral:lncRNA from 1 species